rnacentral:rRNA from 1 species
AGAGUUUGAUCCUGGCUCAGAUUGAACGCUGGCGGCAGGCCUAACACAUGCAAGUCGAACGGUAACAUUUCUAGCUUGCUAGAAGAUGACGAGUGGCGGACGGGUGAGUAAUGCUUGGGAACUUGCCUUUGCGAGGGGGAUAACAGUUGGAAACGGCUGCUAAUACCGCAUAAUGUCUUCGGACCAAACGGGGCUUCGGCUCCGGCGCAAAGAGAGGCCCAAGUGAGAUUAGCUAGUUGGUAAGGUAACGGCUUACCAAGGCGACGAUCUCUAGCUGUUCUGAGAGGAAGAUCAGCCACACUGGGACUGAGACACGGCCCAGACUCCUACGGGAGGCAGCAGUGGGGAAUAUUGCACAAUGGGGGAAACCCUGAUGCAGCCAUGCCGCGUGUGUGAAGAAGGCCUUCGGGUUGUAAAGCACUUUCAGUUGUGAGGAAAAGUUAGUAGUUAAUACCUGCUAGCCGUGACGUUAACAACAGAAGAAGCACCGGCUAACUCCGUGCCAGCAGCCGCGGUAAUACGGAGGGUGCGAGCGUUAAUCGGAAUUACUGGGCGUAAAGCGCACGCAGGCGGUUUGUUAAGCUAGAUGUGAAAGCCCCGGGCUCAACCUGGGAUGGUCAUUUAGAACUGGCAGACUAGAGUCUUGGAGAGGGGAGUGGAAUUCCAGGUGUAGCGGUGAAAUGCGUAGAUAUCUGGAGGAACAUCAGUGGCGAAAGGCGACUCCCUGGCCAAAGACUGACGCUCAUGUGCGAAAGUGUGGGUAGCGAACAGGAUUAGAUACCCUGGUAGUCCACGCCGUAACGCUGUCUACUAGCUGUGUGUGCCUUUAAAGGCGUGCGUAGCGAAGCUAACGCGCU